rnacentral:rRNA from 1 species
CUCCUUUGACGUUAGCGGCGGACGGGUGAGUAACACGUGGGUAACCUACCUAUAAGACUGGGAUAACUUCGGGAAACCGGAGCUAAUACCGGAUAAUAUUUCGAACCGCAUGGUUCGAUAGUGAAAGAUGGUUUUGCUAUCACUUAUAGAUGGACCCGCGCCGUAUUAGCUAGUUGGUAAGGUAACGGCUUACCAAGGCGACGAUACGUAGCCGACCUGAGAGGGUGAUCGGCCACACUGGAACUGAGACACGGUCCAGACUCCUACGGGAGGCAGGAC